rnacentral:rRNA from 1 species
CGGACGGGUGAGUAACGCGUGGGUAACCUGCCUCAUACAGGGGGAUAACAGUUAGAAAUGACUGCUAAUACCGCAUAAGACCACAGUACUGCAUGGUACAGUGGUAAAAACUCCGGUGGUAUGAGAUGGACCCGCGUCUGAUUAGGUAGUUGGUGAGGUAACGGCCCACCAAGCCGACGAUCAGUAGCCGACCUGAGAGGGUGACCGGCCACAUUGGGACUGAGACACGGCCCAA